rnacentral:tRNA from 1 species
GCCGAAGUGGUGGAAUGGCAGACGCGCUAGACUCAAAAUCUAGUGUCCUCACGGGCGUGCGGGUUCAAGUCCCGCCUUCGGCA